AAAUUUUGCUACCAAGUAUCCUUCCUUUUAAUAUGAAUGACCUGCCUGGAUUCAGGUCUGUCUUGCACGUAUUGCUAAUAAUUUUCUACUUGCGACUGUAGUUAUACAAGAAUUUCUCCGCACACGACAGCUUAAAAUAAAUAAAUAAAUAAAAGCCAAAUAGGAUAAACAACCCGACUCACCUAGAUCUUGCAACACAAAAAGCCUCGUGUAAAGGCCAAUAAUCAUAUUCAGAAGAAACGCCAAACAUCCAGGCGCAUGAUUUUCCCACUACAAAUGCAAUCCCAGUGCAAUAAUAUUCCCACACUUGCAUUUCAGGAAACUGUGAACUUUGGAAAUCAGGGACUUUCGUUUGCAGGCGGCAGCAGCUGCUAGUGCUCUCUGAAAUCCUGCCAAUACCGAUUCCAACUCCAAAGAAAACAUUUUGCUCUCGUCAGGAUGCUUGCAUGCAGAGUACCAAGCAUCAAGAAAUACAACAGAACAAAUUAACGCGAUUUAAUCCUUUUUAGCUUCCCUCUUUUCUUGAAACGACAACAAAAUCUCUACCAACAUAUUCCAGGCCAGAUUGCCAACCUUUCAUUGUUCUCGUUGGAUAAUUAUAUUAACCAUGCAUGUCUCCGGUGUACUACUGUACUGAACCAAUCAUCCUUCCACUGAUAUCUCACCAUUUUUCUUUCUUAUUUUAUUUUUUUUCUGCAGAACCAUAUUAUAAAGACAAUAAUAGAAAAGAACAAAACACCAGACAUGCAACCCGCGAUGCCCUCACCCCUCAGGACACUUCAUGGUGGAAGAUGCAAUAACACUUUAUAUAUAUUUUUUCUUUAGUGCAUUCGAACAUCACGACACGUAAACAAAUUAAGGAGGGGGAAGCACUAGCAGUAUUCACGCAGACGACUGAUAAGGAAAAUCCUGAGCCUCCAUAACCAACGCCAAAACAAAUGCAACUCCCACAUUGGAUGUAACAUUCAGCGUUUCAGUUUUCACAUAACACGAUAAAUUUACAUGCAUAAUCCAUCACAUACACAAGUUAAUAUGCUCAGGGCCUAAGGCUUACAAAAACUGAAAAACCUCGUACAUACACAAGGUCAUCUGCACACGGGUAAAGAUCAGCAAUUAUGCGUGUAAUUAUGACAAAUAUUAUAUGAUGUUCCAGAUUCCUAACAUAAAGCCUCAUUUGAUUGGCAGAACAGCCAAUGAACGGACUCAACAUCAUGCUGAUAACAUGUGCUUUCCUUCAGGAUUCAGCAGUAAUCAACUUGUGCCCAUUUUAACAGCCAUGCUCAAAACUAACAUUAAAAAGAAAAUCCCACACCAAAAUAAAAAAUCGCUUUUUUAAUAGAAAAAAUUGGGAAACCCACCAAGAUUGAUCAUAUUUAGAUCGUCUUUAUGUGAAAAUUUAUUGGCAUGUAUAAUUUAGGACACCAGACAUUACAACAAAAGUGCCAUUGUAUACAUGAUUGAUCAUAAUCUUACUUAAUCAAAUAUAACUGGAUAUUUCAGUCAAAUGUAGGACACUAGAUGCUGCUACUAGCAAGUAAUCA
rnacentral:misc_RNA from 1 species